CCCAUUACUGGGUAUAUAUCCAAAGGAAUAUAAAUCAUUCUACUAUAAAGACACAUGCACAUUUACGUUUAUUGCAGCACUGUUUACAAUAGCAAAGACUUGGAACCAACCCAAAUGCCCAUCAAUGAUAGACUGGAAAAAGAAAAUGUGGCACAUAUACACCAUGGAAUACUAUGCAGCCAUAAAAAAGAAUAAGUUCAUGUCCUUUGCAGGGACGUGAGUGAAGCUGGAAACCAUUAUCCUCAGCAAACUAACACAGGGAACAGGAAACCAAACACCAUAUGUUCUCACUCAUAUGUGGGAGUUGAACAAUGAGAACAGAUGUACACCGGAAGGAAACAUCACACGCUGGGGCCUGUUAGGGGGUUGGGGUCAAGGGGAGGGAGAGCAUUAGGACAAAUAUCUAAUGCACGUGGGGCUUAAAACCUAAAUGGCAAGGUUGACGGUGCAGAAAACCACCAUGGCACAUGUAAACCUCUGUAACAAACCUGCACGUUCUGCACAUGUAUCCCAAAACUUAAAGUAAAACAAAGAAACAAACAAAAAUGCACUAACGCUCAGGGUGAGUGGGGCAGGGGCCGGGGUGGGGUGCGGAUGGGUGGGUCCUGGCGUUUUAUUCAAUCAGUGGCGCUGGUGUGGGAACCACCCAAUCGGGCGCACAGUUUGAGAAGAGAGGAGGGCGUGGCUUCCGGCGUUUGGCGGGGCCUUUGUCUCUCGCUGGUGCUGGUGCAGGAGCUUGGGAUCCAUCUCCUCUUUCGCCUCCUCCACCUUGGGAAAUCCAGACAACUCCCUCACAGCCCCUGUUGCCCUGUGAAUCUGUAGGUCCUUGGGGACACACAGUUAAGGUGCUGUUACCAUGGGGUGGUCUUUGCUCCCAGAGCGCCCAAGAUGGUGGCGGGCCACUUCCAUAAUUUUGGCAGGCCACUUCCAAGAUGGUGGCAAGCCUCCUGUUCUCUGACCUGGGGCUCUUGGCCUCACGGAUUCCAAGGAAUGGAAUCUUGAGCCAUGCGGUGAGUGUUAUAGCUCUAUUAGAAGCUGUGGGUCACGGAAGAGAACCGUGGAACCCAGUGACUAGUGUUCAGCUUGAUUAGGAUGAACCCAGGCGCUUAGCUGUGCAGGAACAAUGGCAAGCCUUCAGCCCGAUCGGGAGUGGCAAUGGAUGCCUCGCUGGAUCAGGAGCAGAGCGGACACCUUGCUAGCCAGGAUGGUCUUGAUCUCCUGACCUUGUGAUCCGCCCGCCUCGGCCUCCCAAAGUGCUGGGAUUACAGGUGUGAGCCAUCGUGCCCAGCCAAGAACUGUCUUCACAACAACUGGUGCUGGGGAAAUUAGGUACCCACAUGUAAAAGAAUGAACCUGUGCCCUUCACUUAUACUGUAAGAAAAAAUUAACUAACUGGAUCAAAUACCUAAAUGUAAGAGCUAAAACUACAAAAUUCUUAGAAUAAAAUAUAGGGGAAACACGUCAUAACACUGGAUUUGGCAGUUUUUUUUUUUUAAACAGGACACCCACAACACAAGAAACAAAAGAAAAAUAGACGAAUAGGAAUCUAUCCAGAAUAUGCAAAGAACAAUUCAGCAACAAUAAAACAAACUACUUGUUUAAAAUAUUGGCAAAAACUUAAGCAGACAUUUCUCUAAAAAUUAUGUAAAGUAGCUAAUAAGCACAUGAAAAGACACUCAACAAAACUCAUCAUUAGUGAAAUGCAAAUCUAACCCCAAAUGACAUAUCACUUAAUACCCAUCAGCAUAGCUACUACCAAAAGAAAAAAAAAAACAGAAAAUCCGAAGUGUUGGUGAGGACGUGGAGCAAUUAGAAUCCUUGUACACUGUUGGUGGAAAUGUAAAAUGCUGCAGCUGCUAUAAAAUAACAACACAGUAACUAAAAAAUUUACACAUAAAAUCACCAUACGAUCCAGCAAUUUCACAUCUGGGUAUGCAGCAAAAGAUAUGAAAGCAAAGACACAAAAUAAUAUACAUACACCUAGGUUCAUAGCAGCAUUACUCACAUCACCAAAAAGGUGUUUGAAUUACUCAAGUGUUGUUUGAAUUACCAUCAAUGAUUAAUAGAUAAAAUGUGAUUUAUACAUAGAGUGGAAUGUUAUUCAGUUAUGUAAAAUAAGGAAAUUCUGACACAUGGUACGUCAUGCAUGAACCUUAAGGACAUUGUGCAAAGUGACAUGAGCCAGUCAUAAAAGGACAAAUACUGAAUCAUUCCACUUAUGAGAUACUUAGAGUAGUUAAAUUCUAGAAACCCAAAUAGAAGAGUAGUUCUUAGGAGCUAGAGGGGGAGUAACAAGGAGCUUAUUUAAUGGGUAUAGAGUUUUGUUUCUGCAAGUUGAAAGAAGGUCCCUAUGAGUGGUAAUGACAGUUGCAAAACAAUGUGAAAGUAGUUAAUUUUUCUGAGCUGCACACUUAAAAUAGCUAAAAUGGUUAAUUUUAUGUAUACUUUACCACAAUGUAAAAAAUAAUUUUAAAAUAAACUAUAGCUAUCUGCAAUAUCAUGAAUUAAUAUCAUAAAUAUAAUGUUGCAUAGAAGAAAGUAGAUGUAAAAGUAUACAUAUUACACAAUCUCACUGUUAUAAAAUCCAAAAAGUGAACACAACUGAGCUUCUGGCUUCCAGUAAUAAUGAAGUAAAGUAGUUUGUUGAACACUUCACAGAUAACUAUAACAAAGCUCUUUGGUCACAGGGCUGCAGCACUGCAAUCCCAGCAUGCACCAGGCUCAGGGAGAGUGCGCUAAUCACUGGAGGAAGGGACGAGGCUCCGCGCCUCUCGCUGGUCUUGCUGGGAGAUGCAGUCUCAUAAACACUCCCAGCCCUUUGGUCACAGGGCUGCGAGCACUGCAAUCCCAGCAUGCACCAGGCUCAGGGAGAGUGCGCUAAUCACUGGAGGAAGGGACGAGGCUCCGCGCCUCUCGCUGGUCUUGCUGGGAGAUGCAGUCUCAUAAACACUCCCAGCCCUUUGGUCACAGGGCUGCAGCACUACAAUCCUAGCAUGCACCGGGCUCCGGGAAAGUGCGCGUCACCGGAGGAAGAGGCAGGGCUGUGCGCGCCUCCCUAGGAUUGUUGGAAGAUGCAUUCUCAUAAACACUCCCAACCCUUUGGUCAAAGGGCUACAGGACUACAAUCCCAGCAUGCACCAGGCUCCAGGGCGAGGCGCAGCCCUGGAAGAAGGGGCAGAGUGGUACCCGCCCCACCUAAUAUGCUGGGAGCUGUAGUCCGUUACCUACUCUCAGCCUGUUUGUCGGUAAGCUUCAGAGCUAUAAUCCCAGCAUGUACCGGGAUCCGGGGUCCAUAGCCCUGGAGGGAGGGGCAGAGCGGUGUGGACUUCCCGGUGUCCAAAGCACUGCUGAGUUCUGAUGCUAUGCCGACUCUUUGCAAGGAGAUGAAUACUAUGGCAGUUUCAGACUACCUGGUUAACUAUCGCUGCUGGUUCCAGCGCUGUUCCAGUAAAGUUCUGGGGGAAACGUUUUUAAGUCACCCGCAUUCUUUAGAGAGAGAAUAUAUGUCCGCUCUCCUUUUCUCUGCGGCUUCUGUAGUAUCGAUAAAUACGCUAACCACAUGGGUUGCCCUCAACAUUUCAUAUUUGGGCUAUUUGCCGCUCAUUUUCACAUCUUUCUGGCCACAGUUUAGACUCAGCUUGUCGUUUGCUGUCCGUUCAGCAAUACUCGAUCGCCACCUAGUGGCUAUUGUAAUUUAUUUUCUGGUCAGGUUUUCUGUUUACAAAAUUUUUGUUUUGUUUUGAGCAGCACAUUAAGAGAACCCUGUCCCUUCAGGCUUUAUGCAUUUCCCAGCUCCUUGAAAUUGUUCUUCAACCGGCUUUCUUUGCUGAACAAAAGAUGCACAGUCAAGCAGAUGCCAAGUCGUAGGGAUUGCAUCUGAGCAUUCCAGGUGUUGUAACUGGGCAUCACAAAUGGCAAACCAGUGAAUUAGAGCAAGGCUUGUCAGCCAGACAUCUGCCCCCCAGCCCGCAGUGGGGGUCAUCUCCGUAGGGCUGGAGAUGUCCACCGCUGGGGGAGCUAGGACGGUGUAUGGCAAAUGCCUAUGACCUCCUAGAGCUUCAGUUAAUGGGGUUUCGAGGGGAUGCGCUGGACCCCUUGGUGUUUUCACUUGGCUCAUGAGGACGCCCACAGCCUCCUGG
rnacentral:lncRNA from 10 species